rnacentral:rRNA from 1 species
AGUAUGUGGUUAAUUCGAAGCAACGCGAAGAACCUUACCAGGUCUUGACAUCCCCUGACAACCCGAGAGAUCGGCGUUCCCCCUUCGGGGGACAGGGUGACAGGUGGUGCAUGGUUGUCGUCAGCUCGUGUCGUGAGAUGUUGGGUUAAGUCCCGCAACGAGCGCAACCCUCGACCUUAGUUGCCAGCAUUCAGUUGGGCACUCUAAGGUGACUGCCGGCUAAAAGUCGGAGGAAGGUGGGGAUGACGUCAAAUCGUCAUGCCCCUUAUGACCUGGGCUACACACGUGCUACAAUGGGCGGUACAAAGGGUCGCGAACCCGCGAGGGGGAGCCAAUCCCAAAAAGCCGCUCUCAGUUCGGAUUGCAGGCUGCAACUCGCCUGCAUGAAGCCGGAAUCGCUAGUAAUCGCGGAUCAGCAUGCCGCGGUGAAUACGUUCCCGGGCCUU